AUGCUUCCUUGCUCAAAACAAUGUUGUUUCUUAACUAUACCUGUCUGCUAGAUACCUGCAGCAGCCAGGGAUGCUUAGUUUCAUACAU
rnacentral:snoRNA from 1 species